CUACAGCCGACAGUAACUAAACAUGACUGAGCUGGAGGAUGAAUGAGCAGCUGCUGCCGUCAAUGUGCUGUCAGACUUCAGAAUUUCCUCUUUGAAAAAGAAACAAGAAGAGUGGGCAGUGAGUGAGAACACAGCAUUGAUGCCUCAGAUAACUGGGGUAAAGGAACCAGACUAACAGUGACUUCAGAUAGUCACCCUCAGCUGCCUGGAUCUUCACUUUUACCUACAGAGUAUUUCUUUUGUUAUCCUACGAUAGGAACAAAGAACAGUUUUAUAGAAGUUGGUUUGGUGACGGUGUCCAGAUCUGAGGCAAAUUUAAAUUCUGACUGGAAAAAGGGCCCCCACCAUAACAAAACUGAUAUUGCUAUCAGUGACAACAUUGAGGAUUUGGCAAUAAAUUGUAUGGACACAAUCAAUGGCCUCCAAAACAAGCAGGAGACACAUAUUCAGCCAACGGCAUCCUGAAUGUGAAGAGCCCACACUGGAACAGUAAAAAGGUUUACUCAUGUGAAGUGACUCAUCUUGUAAAAACAAGCACAAAGAAAGGCUAAAAUCUACAACUAAAACUGAAGAUUAUGUGCAUAUGCAGCACCUUGAAAAAAUACACUGCUUUGCAGUUACAAGCGUUUACACAACCAAUGAGAGAUGGAAAGGGUGCUACCUGCUGGCCAUGGGGAUCAGAUUAAAUCUAAGGCCCUGGGUAGGCAAGUGUACAUUAAAAAAGUCUAAACUAAGCUUUAGAUGUAUCAAUUUGUGCAAAUGUGUUGUUCUGUCUUUGUGAAAAUGUAUAU